CCUACGGGUGGCUGCAGUCGAGAAUCUUCGGCAAUGGGCGCAAGCCUGACCGAGCGACGCCGCGUGCGGGAUGAAGGCCUUCGGGUUGUAAACCGCUGUCAGAGGGGAGGAAAUGCAUGGGAGUUCUCUCUCAUGUUUGACCUAUCCUCAGAGGAAGUACGGGCUAAGUUCGUGCCAGCAGCCGCGGUAAUACGAACCGUCGGAUUCACAUUCGGUUUCACGUGGGUUAAAGCCUGCGAAAGCGGCUUGUGAAAGCCCGCGGCUCAACCGAGGAAUUGCGACCAAAACUACCUGGCUUGAGGAAGAUAGAGGUAAGCGGAACUAAUGGUGGAGCGGUGAAAUGCGUUGAUAUCAUUAGGAACACCUGUGGCGAAAGCAGCUUACUGGGUCUUUUCUGACGCUGAUGCACGAAAGCUAGGGGAGCGAACGGGAUUAGAUACCCCAGUAGUC
rnacentral:rRNA from 1 species